CUACUUGAGAUUGACCUUGAGUUUAGGCAACUGGUGACUGUUCUGGGCCCUGUGAAUUUGUGGUUUAAAGCCAGAUACCAAUGAACGAGGAGCAGCUGGGGCAAUUUGUAGUAUACUGUUCCUGAUAGUGUGGUUUUCAUAACAUCCCUCUAAAAUAGAGAAACAACAGUCCCAUUUUACAUGCGUAUCCAAUGUGGAGUACUCUGAUGGGUCCAGGGGAGGGGUCCGUGUUCCCCUGUAGGGCCAGCCCCUGGGCAGCUUUAGUGGAGAGUGGUCGGCUGUCCAGGCCAAAGUUCACUAAGGUCAGGCCUUAUCACAGAGAGCUGGGGAGAAGCUCUUUCAUUAAUACUCUUUGCAGAAGAUGCUAGGCAUUGGGGAGAGUGGGAGGGAGAAUGUGAGAAGAAACAAGCUUGUGGAGACCAUUAUAAGAGCAAGUAGCUCAAGACAGGACUGUUUUGGAAAGAACCAACUUAUCUUAAAGCCAGAGGUGAAGGGAAUAUGAAUUGAUUUAUAGUUUAUGAAGAUCUAGACAUGAUUUUGAAGACUGAUCUCCUCCCAGUCCCAGGCCCAACUUGGCUCCAGGUUUUUGCUGCUAUUGAAACUGAGCAGGACACUACAGUCCUUGCCUCCACCCCCCACCGGCCCCUGACCUAUGUUUGCCUUUUGUCUAUGGAAAAUUUUAGUCAAAGAAUAAAUUUAAUCAGAGAAAUGAGAAACAUGGAAACAAAGAAAAAGAGUCAAAAAAAAAAAAAAGAAAAAGAGUCAAAGGAGACUAAAUGAUAAUAAUGUAGUUAUUAACAAUAGUCAAGGACCUUUAGUUCUUCAAAGGUUCCAGACGUGUGCAUUCUUAAUAAACACAGUGUAUGAUGCAGAGAAGCACACGUGGGGUGGAUUUUGUAAGAGACCUCCCUGACACUGGGUGGGAGAGAACAGAGCAGAGGAAGGGAGAGCUCUGGCCAGGAGGUCUCUGAUUAGCUAGGAGUUGGCUUUACAUGGGCCGUGGAAGCUUCCAUGCCUUGAAUCCUUUCCAGAUAACCAAGCCGUCUCAAAUAUGUUGCAGAGAAGAGGGCAGGACCAACGGGACAGUCUUCAGUUUGGAUAUGAGCACCGCCAAUUUGAGCUUCGUAACGCUUAGUUAACCUUAAGAAAAACAGCAUGAAUAUAGCCAGAAAAGAAACAUGUAACAGUUCACAAGGAGACAUUUUUGUUCCUCCCUUAAAGCUAGUUGGGUGCUCUUAGCUGGCUUCCACGGUGUCCCUGUUCACCCCACAGUGGCAUCUGCAGCUCUGUCCCUCCCAUUCACUGGUCCGUCUCCAGCACUGGAUGGCGAGCUCUGCUCUCUGUCGCCCUGGCAUCUGGCCCAGGCUCUGAUGUGGGGUGAGUCUUUGAUGAACACUUGAGUUUUGAGAGAGAGGUAAAUUUCAGCUCUGCCACUUAGUUGCUGUGUGAUUUAGGGAUGUCAUUUAAUUUCUCCAAGCAGCAUUUCUUUUCAUCUCUAAUUCCUGGAUGAUUGUGAGGGCUGAGUGAAAUAUGGCGUAUAAGGAGCCUCACUUGGAGCCUGGCGCCUAAUAGGUGCUCAGGCUCAUAGGCUUGACCAGUGUUCUUCAAAUGCUGGUUUGCCAUGCUCAGAAGUUCCAGGGACUUGACUGGCAUUCAAGGCUUUCUGCACCAGCUUAUUCUGAAUAGGUAACAUGAUGCUCUGUUGUUUUUUCAGACUGAUCUCCUCCCAGUCCCAGGCCCAACUUGGCUCCAGGUUUUUGCUGCUAUUGAAACUGAGCAGGACACUACAGUCCUUGCCUCCACCCCCCACCGGCCCCUGACCUAUGUUUGCCUUUUGUCUAUGGAAAAUUUUAGUCAAAGAAUAAAUUUAAUCAGAGAAAUGAGAAACAUGGAAACAAAGAAAAAAGAGUCAAAAAAAAAAAAAAGAAAAAAGAGUCAAAGGAGACUAAAUGAUAAUAAUGUAGUUAUUAACAAUAGUCAAGGACCUUUAGUUCUUUCUCAAGGGCUAUAGAUAAUAUUCUGAGCCAUAUCCUGUGAGCUGUCUCAUAGAUACUAAAACACGAGGUGGACAAGUUAACUACAUGAUGACCAGACUGUACUCAGGACAUGAGCUGCCACAAUUCCGAGAACUGACUGCAAAAAAUGGGAACAAGUGGACUCUGGAACUGAAGAAUAACUGUACCUAGAUAACCAACAUAAUGCUGGUCAGACCCCUGAUGACCAAUUUGAAGAUGACUGUCAGAGCUGACUGUGCUGUUCCUGCAUGUAGCCCCCUCCCCACUUCUAUCUAUAAAAGCUGCACGCUGGUUGCCAAUGCGGAGGGGUGGCGGAGGGGAGUCGACCUUCCAGAUGUCUGCCACCCUCCCACCCCAGUUGCCGGCCUCUGAAAUAAAGCAGACUUUCCUUCCCACCAGUCUGGCCUGUUUAUUGGCUUUUGAGCAGUAAGCAGCCAGACCACACACCUUUCAGUAACAGUAUCAUUCAUUCUAAUUCUGGGCCAUGUCUUUCCUCUAUGAGUCAAAUACUGCUUUCCCCAACACCGUCUCUCUUAUAGCAACUGUACAGUCCUUCUCACCUACCAUUUCGCUGAUACCUCAUCCAAAUUUCCACUCCCUUCUACAAAGGCUGGCAGUAACCUGAUAGUCUCAACCACUAUUUUUUUUUUAAUUGUAGUAGGAAGAAAAAAAAACAAAGCGAAAUUUACUGUUUUAAGGGUAGUGUUAAGUACAUUCACAUUUUUGUUCAGACAAUCUUCAUAGCUUUUUCGUCUUGCGCAUCUUGCAAAUUUUGGGCAAUCACACAUCAGGUAUGCUAUUGAAAGCAUUUCCCCACAGAAUGAACUGUGUACAAUGUUUAGAUCAUGAGUCUAUAAAUGUCUGUUCUUCUGUAGGACUGGGUUUUUAUGUGUUUUUUUUUUUUUUUUUUUACCAUAUCCCUCACUCAUCACAUUUCAUUGGACACUGGGAGAUAUGCCGAUGUGUGUGA
ensembl:lncRNA